CACAGAGCAGGCUAAGGUGUCCAUCUGCAGCUCAUUACAGACAGUGACACAUGAGGAGAAUUUAGAAGUCAGAAAGCUUCCAGAUUUUUCAAGGAAGAGACUCUUCCAAACGUCUCUGGAAUGUGCUUAGGCAGGAUUCUAGAGCACCAACCAUACCCGUUCUUCCUUGUUCCAAGGGUGCUGUUUCCUUAGCCAUAUUCCUUCCUGCUCAGAGAAGAGCUUUAAAAAGGGUCCCACGACGUCUUCAAUCCUCAGCCAUGAACGUGGCUCCUGCGCCGAUGCUUCUGAUACUUUUUGCCCUGAGAGGAACCGGAGCCCAGUCAGUGACCCAGCCUGACGUCCACGUCACUGUCUCUGAAGGAGCCCCUCUGGAGCUGAGGUGCAACUAUUCAUCUUCUGUUUCACUGUAUCUGUUCUGGUAUGUGCGAUAUCCCAACCAAGGACUCCAGCUUCUCCUCAAAUACACGUCUGGAAACAGCCUUGUUCCAGGCAUCAAAGGUUUCAAGGCUGAAUUUAGGAAGAAUGAAACCUCCUUUCACCUGAAGAAACCCUCAGCCCAUUGGAGCGACUCGGCUGAGUACUUCUGUGCUGUGAGUGACACAGUGCCUGGGACUGCAGGGGGAGCUGAACACAAACUUCUGGUGAAUGUGAGGCUUUCAGUGACACAAGGGGUCAAGCUGGGACAUUUUCAGUAAGAUCUCAUGUUGUAUAAAGACAAGCAGAGCAGAGGGGACUAAACUGCGUAGCUCUUGUGCUAACGUGGUCUUUACUUAAUUUUCAAAGAGUCAGGAUUCAUGAGGAAAGGACACUUCGUGAGAAAAACACAGUGUCCCCAAUAGACUGGAGACUAGACCUUGCUUAGAGAAACGUUUCAAAUGGGACAGUGGCAGGGACUGUUUUGUGUGGCGAUUGCCAUGUGACCUGUGACCAGACAGGAGAGUACUGUGACAGUCUACCCUGGUGGUUUUAAUUCAUUAGUGGCACCCUAGGCUUCACUCUAGCUGAGGAACUUUUCUUAAGGUCCCAUCUGUGUAUGAAUAUUUGACAAACUGAAUGGGGAGAUGAGGAUUAACAACACCUAGAGGAAGGACAGAGGAAAAUGUGAUAAAAUAAAAUCACUAAGCAUACAGGGAGGAUAUUUACUGACUAUUUCUGUCAUUUACUCAGCUCUUCCAUUUUAUCAUAAGCUCAAAAAAAUGGAGCUGAGAUCCCUGUAAACCCAUCCCUGGAUCAGGCUGAGGAGGGCCUGGGCUGUGAUAACAUGGCAGAGGUGAUUACUGGAGUGGAGUUGAGAGUAGACAUCUGUUAGAGCCUAGUGGGGCUGGAGGCUCCAGUAGAAAACAUCUGUAUGGACUAUUUCCUUUUUUCCUAAUUUUUAUAACUAAAAUGUCUUAAAAUGAACUUCUACUCCACUGACUUAGGAAUUACUCAAUAUCCUUGAUGAAAUUUCUUCUCCAAUAUCUCUUCCGAGGAAAAAGACAAAUAAAUGAGGGAAAUAAGGAAUAUAAGUAAAGAGAGGAGAAAAGGGGGAGGUGUAAGACAAGACUGGGGAAAAAGGGAGAAACGUUUUGCUCAAACUGAAAAAUGUGGCCCUUCCCUCCUGUUCACAGAGCAGAAUCAGGCAUGUGGAUGUGCAGCAUGUAGGGGAAAGUGUCUGAUGGGAGAGGAGAGGAGGUGAGAAUGAGAUCAAGGUGGACAUUCCAUACAUGUCCUAUUUCUUUUCCUACCAAGCAAAGUCUAAUUGUAGACAUAUGCUAUCUUCAUGUAUAAAUAUAGAUCUAUAUUUUCUAGACUUACAAAACUAUUUUAAUUUCUUUUAUUUGUAUUUACUUUUCUAUCAAAGGGGGUUA